UCCAGGUAUACUAUUGUUUCUUUCGGUAGGCACUUCAGCAAACCAAGUGAAUGGCCCACCAGAGAAAAGUUGUCACAUUCACUGAUUCAUCAACAUUUUCCCCAGCAGUAGCAGUACCUGUGCCAUCUGUGUUUCGCACUUACAAAGAAACCUCUUUGCAACUGCCAUACAAAUCAGGGGCACUAUCAAGGUCACACUGAAGGGAAUUUCAGGACACCGAGAAGAUGUUUCGACUGCAUGACAAGGGAUCAGAACAUUACUGACCACCAAUGAACCCCAAGGAACUUCUCACCUCCAUAAUAAUGACAAAGACCAGAUUCAUCCAUAUAAGGCCAUUAGAGGAAGACAGCUUUGAAGUGUCAAGUUUUCCGUUAUAGAGCCGGGACUAUCCCAGUCAGAGGAAUUGCUUCACCAGGGAAAGAUCACAGCUUUUAAAAAUAGAACCAGUCAUCUGAGGAAUUCAAGUCCACAGCUGUGCUAGGUGUUCAGACCUGGAGUUAAAGCUCGCCGAAGAGAAGUCAGAGCGGACAUUUAAGAGAUGACAAGGCAAACAGCACCCGGAGCUUAAUUAAAGUCGUGCAUGUAUCUCUCUGUGCAUAAACCCCCGUACAUCAUUAUUAGAUGCUGCAAUUCUCCAUCUCCUCCUCCCCUCUGCCCCUCCCCAGACUACCACCAGGACUGCAGCGAUUUGAUAUAAUCUUCUCUCGUCCAACCUUCCCCCCGAAAACAGCAUAAAAACGGUGCACACUGUAACCUUCAGUCAUCAGGUAAAUAACAACACACGGAAUGCAAGCGAUCGGCUUUGUCUGUGUUUAAACUUGAUGCCCACAUCGCCACACGCAGCAGCCUGAAAAGUGUUCCAGCCUCGAGCCUCUGCUCUCAAACAGAAGGCACAGAAAAGAAUGGAGAUUUGCAGAUCUGAUAAUGAGCCAGUUAAUGACAUAAAUGAUACCUCAAGAACCUCACUAAACCAUCCAGGUCCUACAAUUUAAUCUGUAAUAAAUACUCCUGCAUCAUUGUGAGAUGGCUGCUCAUAAUGGCAAAUGAAAUAUGCUGGUAUGAUAGGUACAAUAAAUCUGGAUUUUCCUAUGGUUCCCUCAGGCUAGAACAAUAUGUAACCACAGUGCGCAUUGUCAGGAUGAGCAGAUCUCAAAGCCAUCAUAAAAUCUAAAUGGGGACUAAUUAAGAGGCCCUUCCCUUCCAGAGUUACUAUUUCUAUUGACAUUUUCCAUGCAUGAGCCCCUCCAUAACAUCAUAAGUCACCAAGAUAAGAACUCCCUAGAUUAUAGGGAAAAAGCUUUAAUGGAGAAGUUGAAC